GUGUAAUAGUGAAGGAAGCACAGAGAGGUGAUAGAAAAAAAAAGUCAGAGAAAAACUGAUCUUAUCUGGUUUAAGUGCAGCUUCUAUUUCUACAUUUAUUACCCAUACAAAACACUUUGUGAUCAUCUGCAUCACAUCAGAGUGGAUCAGAGUGCAGUGAGGAUGGGGCACACUUUGCUCUGCAUGACGGGGUUUUUCUAAAGUUGUAGAAGUUUUCAGACGUGUCACUGCUGGAUGUGAGGAUGGGAGCCACUUUGCUCUGUGAGCUGGGCCUAUUCUAUGCUGUGCUAACUAUUGAACCCAACUGGUCCAGUUUUUUCAUUGGAGAGUUUGUUACCUUCAAAUGUGACAUGAAAGAAGGAGAAGACACUGACUGGUAUUACAAUAUCAACAGGGAUGGUCAGGGAUUUCUCCCCUACGACACAGAAAAAGACAAGAAAUUUAAACUGUUUUCUACAGAUUACAGUGGUGAAUAUCAGUGCUCUGGUCGCAGGAAGAGAUCACAUGAUACAAAGAUCAGUAAUACUGUCUCUAUAACUGUACUAGGUAAGUCCUCAAUGACCAAUAAUGUGAUGAUUCCUGUUGAAAAUCAUCUGAAUUAUAAAAUUCUGAAUACAUUUAAUUAAUGUUGUCACUGAAACUUGAAACUUUAAGGACUACUGUAUUUUA
rnacentral:lncRNA from 1 species